CCCGGGCCCGGCGCCUGUCGGAUGCCCGGCGUGCGGUCUCCCUCCCGCCGGGGUCGGGGUCGGGCCGCUCGGCAGGCGGUGCGCGGGGGCGAGGCUGCAGGUGGGAGCAAGGGGCUGUCCCGCCUCCCGAGGGGUGGGAAGGCCUGGAGACUCACGGCUCUUCCUGUCGCGGAGCUUCCCCGCCUGGCGCGGGGGCAGUACGUUCGCGUGUGAAGGAUGCAGGAUGCUGAGCCCCCGCGGUGACCGCGGCCCGAGCCUGUUUCCGUGUCUGCAAAACGGUGAUGAGCUUUUUAAAGGAGCGCUCGGCAUGACUCUUUGGGCGGAAGAAAUGCCCCCAAAUGAUAGCUAUUAUCCGGGAGGCACAGAUAGGAUGGUAAUGACAGCCGUGAGACUUCAGAUCAAACCACGACCUCCUUGGAGGAGCCCAGGACGGACUUGGACAGUUUUUCAACCUCAAACGGUUGCCGGUGUGGCGGGCGUGUUGCGAGGGCUGGAGCAGCGGCUGUGGACGUGCGUGUUGCUUGUUGGCCUCGUGCCCGUCCAGCCUGGCUUAGAGUGAGACAUCCGUGGGGCUGCAGUGGAAAUGUCAGGAAACCAGAACUCCCUUAGAGGUGCCUUCUGUGUGCACCCACCCCUUCCCCACCCGCCGGGAGCUGCUGGAGGAGACGUUUCCAGCUGCAAGCUUCUGCCUUCCUUGUCCGUGCUCUCUCUCGGGGCGCCAUCCAAGAUGCAAGACCCCACAUGCCAUCUGCUUUCUCCCUGUGUAUCCGCUCUGGCCCAGCCUCCCACCUUUCCUCUCCACUGCUCCCUGGUUAACAGCUCCGUGUGUGCACAACCGCACUCGCACCUCCUUACCUGACUUGACACCCCGCAUCGUCUGGCUGUACCCCUCUUCUCCUCAUUCCACAGUCCCCCUCACUGGGUGAAGACUGAGGUCUGUCCUCACCUCUUGCAGUCCCUCUGUCCAAACAGGUUCCGCCAUCCUCUGGGAUGUCAGUGUCCGCAGGGACUUGCUCUGCCCUUGCCUUCCUCAUCUGCAGAGAUUUCUCCCCCUAAAGCACCCCUCCCCAGACGCCCCCGAUCACAUCCAAGAACUCCUCCCCUUGAAAGCUUUCUGACUGUGUUUGCUGCCUCCCCCUCAGUGGAGUGGCAUUUGGUUGACCACACUGCUUUGGGGGACCACCCCUCUCCCUCGCUUCUCUGUAGUUGAGUUGGCAGGUCCCCACUGCCUGACGCCAACACUAGUCACCAAAAUCAGGCAGUCGGAGCCAGUGAGCAUCAGGCCUGGGCCUUUGGGGCAAGAGAGGCCCUCAUGUCUCUGAUCGUCAAGGCAGGUGUGGUCAGAAGACGGGGGUAUACCCUGAUGAAAAAACGUGAUAGAGAAUGAAGCAGUCUGGAAGAAACCUGAGCCAAAAGAUAAAGUGAGAACAGUGUCGUGGUUCUUUAAAAGACUAGGCAGAGAAUUACCAUAUGACCCAGCAAUUCUGCUUCUGGGUGUGUGCCCAAAAAGAAAUGAAAGCAGGAACUUGAGACACUUGUAUCUCCAUAUUCAUAGCAGCAUUACCCACAAUGGCCAAAAGGUGGAAGCAGCCCAGUGUCCACUGAUGGAUGAACGGGUACACGAAAUGUGCUGUAUAUGUACAGUGGAAUAGUAUUCAGCCUUAAAAAAGGAAGGGAAUUCUGCCAAAUGCUAUGAUGUGGAUGACCCUUGAAGACUGUGCUCAGUGAAAUAAGCCAGUCACAAAAGGACAAAUAAUAUAUGAUUCCACUCACAGGAGGUCCCUAGAGGAGUCACAUUCACAGAGACAAAGUGGAAUCAUGGGGGUCAGGGGCUGGGGGAGGGGUCUUUAAUGGGGACAGAGCUUCAGUUUGGGAAGAUGAGAAGCUUCUGGAGAUGGAUGGUGGGGAUGGCUGCACAGCAGUGUGAAUGUGCUAAAUGCCACUGGACUGUAUACUUAGAAAUAGUUAAAAUGAUAAAUUUUGUGUAUUUUUUGACACUUUUUAAAACUAAAAUAAGAAGAUGGAGCAAAAAGUGAAACCAAGGCACAGCCACAUCAUUUGAGCCCCAGGAUGUUGCGACUUGUUGGGGAAACACGCACAUAGCCACAAACAUUGAGGCUGUCGUUCGGGCCGUGCGUAGGACCCCAGGCCCCUUGAGUCGGUCAUCUCUGCCUGCCGGGACCCUUGUGGCACCCUCACAUCCCUGCUGCUCUUGCUCUUCCCAUGGAGCAGUGUCUGCGGCUUUUGCCUGUUGGGCCUCCACUCCCUCUUUGUUCUGAGGACCAAGACUUGCCUUUGGGGAGCCGCCUCUCCCCCGCUUUAUUCCUGCCUCCCAACGUCUGCCCUGGGCCUCACCCAUCAGAACCCCACUUCUCCCUCGGCCCAGUGACUGGUUCAGCGAUGGCGUUUCACAAAACGGGCCCAAGGAGAGGCAGCUCUGGGACUGCUUGUGAUCGUCUGAGAAAGAGCUGGGUCUUUCUGCUGGGGCCGCUGGGCUGGGAGGAUGUAAGCCCAGGGUAUACAGCUCGAUGUGUCCUUUCACGUUACUCCACUCAUUCAUUCAAGCGCCCUCACCUCAGGGCCUUUGUGCUGGCUGUUCCCUCUGCCUGAAAUGCCCUUCCCUCAGUCUUCACAGCUCCCUCCCUACCUCUCUCAGCUCUCUGCCCUGUGUCACCUCCUCAGAGAGACCCACCUGCCCUAACCACCAUGUUCUAUUUCUUCCAAGUGUUUAUCACUACCUACUCUAUAUUUAGUUAUUUGUUAUGUCUCCCUUACUCCCUUGGUGAAGUCUGAGAUGGGGAAACACAGUUCUUGUUCACUCCCGUAUAUCUAGCCACGAAGUGCCUGGCUUAGAGGCCUGGGAAAAUCAAGAGUGAAUGAGUGAGUGGACGUGUCAGCCACCACACCUGCCCCCCACUGUGCCCAAGGCAGUUCGGCCUCAUGGAUAGGUGAGCCAGAAGGGAGCUCCCCCCAUUCCCCUUAAUCCACUUUGAGGUCUAGCAUCCGCAGUCCUAAGUGCAUAGCUUGGUAAAUGCUUACAGAGUCUACAUCUGUGCAAGCACCACCCCAGUCAAGGUAAGGAACAUUGUCACCACCCCAGAAUGUUCCCUCUGCUCUCUGUAGCCAAUUCCCGGCCCUCUUGUUACAUCACCAGGAUUCACUUUACCUAUUCUAGAAUGUUCCAGAAUUGGAAGCAUCCAGCAUGAACUUCUUUGUGUCUGUUAGUUGCCUGGGCCACUGAGCUUUCUGGCGGCCUGUACCUGGCCAGCACGCCUGUGCCUGCACCCCUCGUUUCUAAAAGGGCAGCGGGGCCCCUCCUGGCCUGGCCUCGCUCCACAUUCUCUGGAUCCGUAGCUCUCAGAGUAGCAGACCACGAAUAUGGACGCUGGCCAACGCAAGCAGAAAAGAAUUUGAGGACAGCCUGCUGCUAACAGACCUCCAGGAGGGCCAGGAGGAGCUGGCCUUGAAGGCUGGGCAGUCCGAAGCAGCUGCCGGGGACACAGUGACACCACCAUGCCCUGGCCCUGCCCUGGGGAGGCGGACAAGAAUCAAGCAGAGUGUGUGCUGUGUCCCAUGGUGGCGAGUGUGGUGGACAAAAAGAAAACCAGGGCUGCCAAGCUGGGGCAGGCGAUUUUAAGUCAGGCGGCGCCCGGGAAAGUCACGGGGAGCUGAGGGACUGAGGCCAAGCCGACUGCUGGGAGAAGAGCCUUCCAGGCAGAGGAAACAGCCGGUGCAAAGUCCCACAGCUUCCACCCUCUCCGCAUGCUCCGCUCUGAGCUGCUGGCCGCCUGAUUUCACAAGGAGAUAGUCACUCCCAGCCGUGUCCUCCCGCCACCGCCACCGCAGCCACCAGCACCUGUGGCGCCUUCCACAUAGCUCUGGGCACCCCCUGUGGCUCUCUCCUCCCCAGGCCUCACCUCGCCUCUCUCGACACUCACCCACAGGCGACCCCAGCCAGUCCCUCAACUUAAGGCCAUCAGAGCACUGAGCCCUUCCGUUGCCUCCCUCCAGCCUGGCUUUCCCCCCUGAGGUCCAGACGCACGUAUCUGACCAUCUAUAUCACAGCUUCCUUUGGAGAUUUUGUAUAAAGUGGGUGCAAAAUAAACCCACCUGCCUGGAUCCCUUCCAUCCAUGUUAUUGUUUCUUUGCAUCUCUACAAGCGUUUUGUCUGCUUUUGCACAAGCGCCG
rnacentral:lncRNA from 1 species